rnacentral:rRNA from 1 species
GAACUGUGCAAACGUUAUUCGGAAUCACUGGGGCUUAAAGGGGUGCGUAGGCGGCAAUGCAAGUCAGGUGUGAAAUCCCACGGCUCAACCGUGGGAAUUGCGCUUGAAACUGCAUAGCUUGAGGAAGUCAGAGGAGAGCGGAACUGAUGGUGGAGCGGUGAAAUGCGUUGAUAUUAUCAGGAACACCGGUGGCGAAAGCGGCUCUCUGGGACUUUUCUGACGCUGAGGCACGAAAGCUAGGGGAGCGAACGGGAUUAGAUACCCCGGUAGUCCUAGCUGUAAACGAUGAGCACUAGUCUGUGGCGACUCCCACAUCGUCUCGGACGUAGCGAAAGUGUUAAGUGCUCCGCCUGGGGAGUAUGGUCGCAAAGGCUG